UGGUGUGAUCUUGGCUCACUGCAACCUCCGCCUCCUGGGUUCAAGUGAUUCUCCUGCCUCAGUCUCCCAAGUAGCUGGGAUUAUAGACGUGCCUGCUUCCCCUUCGCCUUCUGCCAUGAUUGUCAGUUUCCUGAGGCCUCCCCAGCCAUGCUUCCUGUACAGCCUGCAGAACUGUGAGUCAAUUAAACCUCUUUUCUUCAUAAA